rnacentral:rRNA from 1 species
CCCCUAGUAGCGGCGAGCGAAGCGGGAAGAGCUCAAAUUUAUAAUCUGGCACUUUCAGUGUCCGAGUUGUAAUCUCUAGAAGUGUUUUCCGCGUUGGACCGCACACAAGUCUGUUGGAAUACAGCGGCACAGUGGUGACACCCCCGUACACGGUGCGGACGCCCAGCGCUUUGUGAUACACUUUCGAAGAGUCGAGUUGUUUGGGAAUGCAGCUCAAAUUGGGUGGUAAAUUCCAUCUAAAGCUAAAUAUUGGCGAGAGACCGAUAGCGAACAAGUACCGUGAGGGAAAGAUGAAAAGCACUUUGGAAAGAGAGUUAACAGUACGUGAAAUUGUUGGAAGGGAAACGCUUGAAGUCAGACUUGCUUGCCGGAGCUUGCUUCGGUUUGCAGGCCAGCAUCAGUUUUCCGGGGUGGAUAAUGGCGGUUAGAAGGUAGCAGCUUCAGCUGUGUUAUAGCUUUCCGCUGGAUACAUCCUGGGGGACUGAGGAACGCAGCGUGCUUUUAGCGGGGGUUUCGACCU